rnacentral:rRNA from 1 species
AUGAACGCUGGCGGCGUGCCUAAUACAUGCCAGUCGAGCGCACAGACGAGGAGCUUGCUCCCCUGACGUUAGCGGCGGACGGGUGAGUAACACGUGGAUAACCUACCUAUAAGACUGGGAUAACUUCGGGAAACCGGAGCUAAUACCGGAUAAUAUAUUGAACCGCAUGGUUCAAUAGUGAAAGACGGUUUUGCUGUCACUUAUAGAUGGAUCCGCGCCGCAUUAGCUAGUUGGUAAGGUAACGGCUUACCAAGGCAACGAUGCGUAGCCGACCUGAGAGGGUGAUCGGCCACACUGGAACUGAGACACGGUCCAGACUCCUACGGGAGGCAGCAGUAGGGAAUCUUCCGCAAUGGGCGAAAGCCUGACGGAGCAACGCCGCGUGAGUGAUGAAGGUCUUCGGAUCGUAAAACUCUGUUAUUAGGGAAGAACAAAUGUGUAAGUAACUAUGCACGUCUUGACGGUACCUAAUCAGAAAGCCACGGCUAACUACGUG